CCGAGUGAGGGCCCCCGGCCCGACCUCCAACCCUUUGUUAUCAAAACCACUGUUGCCUCGGGGGCGACCCGGGCCCUUCGGCACGGGGCCCCCGGCGGACAAUUUCAAAACACUGCAUCUUUGCGUCGGAUUACAAAAGUUUAAUGAUUUA
rnacentral:misc_RNA from 1 species